AUUUAAAUAGUUUAAAUAAAACAUUGAUUUGUGGGAUCAAUAAUAUAGUUAUCUAUUUUAAAUA
rnacentral:tRNA from 1 species